rnacentral:rRNA from 1 species
AAGGAAUAUUGGUCAAUGGACGCAAGUCUGAACCAGCCAUGCUGCGUGGAGGAUGAAGGUCCUUUGGAUUGUAAACUUCUUUUAUCUGGGACGAAACACUUCUUUUCUAAGAGGCCUGACGGUACCAGAUGAAUAAGCACCGGCUAACUCCGUGCCAGCAGCCGCGGUAAUACGGAGGGUGCAAGCGUUAUCCGGAUUCACUGGGUUUAAAGGGUGCGUAGGUGGGUAUGUAAGUCAGAGGUGAAAUCCCCGAGCUUAACUUGGGAACUGCCUUUGAUACUAUAUAUCUUGAAUGCCGUAGAGGUAAGCGGAAUAUGUCAUGUAGCGGUGAAAUGCUUAGAUAUGACAUGGAACACCAAUUGCGAAGGCAGCUUACUAUGCGGUUAUUGACACUGAGGCACGAAAGCGUGGGUAGCAAACA